CCAACAGGGAUUGCCUCAGUAACGGCGAGUGAAGCGGCAACAGCUCAAAUUUGAAAUCUGGCAUCCGCCCGAGUUGUAAUUUGGAGAGGAUGCUUCUGGGCAGCGGCCGGUCUAAGUUCCUUGGAACAGGACGUCACAGAGGGUGAGAAUCCCGUACGUGAUCGGCGCGCACCCUCCACGUAGCUCCUUCGACGAGUCGAGUUGUUUGGGAAUGCAGCUCUAAAUGGGAGGUAAAUUUCUUCUAAAGCUAAAUACCGGCCAGAGACCGAUAGCGCACAAGUAGAGUGAUCGAAAGAUGAAAAGCACUUUGGAAAGAGAGUUAAAAAGCACGUGAAAUUGUUGAAAGGGAAGCGCUCCCAAUCAGACCUGUCGGCGGCGUUCCGCCGGUCUUCUGACCGGUCUACUCGUCGUCCGCAGGCCAACAUCGUCUGGUGCCGCUGGAUAAGCCGUUGGGAAUGUAGCUCCUCGGAGUAUUAUAGCCCGUCGGGAUACGGCGCGCGCCGGGCGAGGUCCGCGCUUCGGCAAGGAUGUUGGCGUAAUGGUUGGCAGCGGCCCGUCUUGAAACACGGACCAAGGAGUCUAACAUCUAUGCGAGUGUUCGGGUGUCAAACCCCUACGCGCAAUGAAAGUGAACGGAGGUGGGAACCGCAAGGUGCACCAUCGACCGAUCCUGAUGUCCUCGGAUGGAUUUGAGUAAGAGCAUAGCUGUUGGGACCCGAAAGAUGGUGAACUAUGCCUGAAUAGGGUGAAGUCAGAGGAAACUCUGGUGGAGGCUCGCAGCGGUUCUGACGUGCAAAUCGAUCGUCAAAUUUGGGUAUAGGGGCGAAAGACUAAUCGAACCAUCUAGUAGCUGGUUCC
rnacentral:rRNA from 1 species